CGAACCGGCGAACCCUGGGCCACCGAAGUGGAACGUGCGAACUUAACUGCUGCGCCACUGGACUGGCCCCUGUUAUUUUUUUUUCUUCCUUGCUGCCUCACUCUGCUCAGAGGUGGGAGGGGUACUCUGCCCAACAUCACUGAGAUGUGUGGAAGCCAGACUCAGAGAGCUAAGGUGCUGGAUCCAGGCUGCUGGGCAGACCACUUGGUGGAAGGAAGGCCCAGCCUCUCUCCAGCUGUUCCCCUUUCUAUUCUCCAAAAAGAUUCCUGGACUUAACCAUAGGCAUGCAUUCUACAGGAUUUUAGAGAGGCCCCAAGGGCCUGGGCUUUAGGACAGGCAUGCCACUAAUGCACAUAUCAGAAAUAAAAUCUUGUAGUAAACAUCA